rnacentral:rRNA from 1 species
UGGCGGCGUGGCUAAGACAUGCAAAGUCGAACGGACUGUUCAAUUUAUUGUUCAGUUAGUGGCGAAAGGGUUAGUAACGGGUAGGUAACGUACCCUGUGCUUUGGGAUAGCGUCAGUAACUUCGGUUACUUUCCGAAAGGGGCGGUAAUACCAAAUAAUAUCAUUUGUCGAUAGGCAAAUGAUCAAAGAUUUAUCGGCGCGGGAGCGGCCUGCCUCCUAUCAGCUUGUUGGUGAGGUAAUGGCUCACCAAGGCAUCGACGGGUAGCGGGACUGAGAGGUUGGCCCGCAACAUCGGGACUGAGACACUGCCCGGACCUCCACGGAGGGCUGCAGUAACGAAUAUUGUGCAAUGGGCGAAAGCCUGACACAGCGACGCCGCGUGUAGGAGGAAGUCCUUCGGGAUGUAAACUACUGUCAGGGGGAAGAAAGUGCACUUCGGUGCAUUGAUCUAACCCAGAGGAAGUCACGGCUAACUUCGUGCCAGCAGCCGCGGUAAUACG